ensembl:snRNA U6 U6 spliceosomal RNA
UUGACUAAAACAAGGGGCAGCACAUACGUUAAAAUUGGAAGGAUACGGAGGAGAUUAGCAUGUCCCCUGCCUGUGGACGGCACUCAAAUUUGUGGUGGUCCAUGUUUUA